rnacentral:rRNA from 1 species
UACGAAGGGGGCUAGCGUUGUUCGGAAUUAUUGGGCGUAAAGCGCGUGUAGGCGGCUUUGCAAGUCGGGUGUGAAAGCCCUCAGCUCAACUGAGGAAGUGCGCCCGAAACUGCAGAGCUUGAGUGCCGGAGAGGGUGGUGGAAUUCCCCAAGUAGAGGUGAAAUUCGUAGAGAUGGGGAGGAACACCGGUGGCGAAGGCGACCACCUGGACGGUAACUGACGCUGAGACGCGAAAGCGUGGGUAGCAAACAGG